GAUGAAGAACGUAGCGAAAUGCGAUAAGUAAUGUGAAUUGCAGAAUUCAGUGAAUCAUCGAAUCUUUGAACGCACAUUGCGCCCGCCAGUAUUCUGGCUGGCAUGCCUGUUCGAGCGUCAUUUCAACCAUCAAGCCCCAGGCUUGUGUUGGGGACCUGCGGCUGCCGCAGGCCCUGAAAACCAGUGGCGGGCUCGCUGUCACACCGGGCGUAGUAGAUUUUAUCUCGCUCAGGGCGUGCUGCGGGUUCCGGCCGUUAAAAAGCCUUUUUUACCCAAGGUUGACCUCGGAUCAGGUAGGAAGACCCGCUGAACUUAAGCAUAUCAAUAAGCGGAGGA
rnacentral:misc_RNA from 1 species